AUGGUUGACACCGGAACCUCGGUCUCUCAUGAGGAAUUCAAUAUGGCCUUGGACACAUUGAAAACCUCCAUGACGACCGAGGUUGAAAGCAUGUUUAAUAAAUUCAUUGAAGGGCUUAAACUAUCCACUGCACCAUUGAAAGUGGGUGAUCCCACUAACAAGGUGACGGAUGCUAACUCCGACAAGGGGGGAGCUACUAGUGAAAAAGCUCCUUCUUCUAGUGGUAAGAUUGGCACCGGCAUCUUUGCCCAUGUGGAACCUCCACUUGUUUAUGGUGGACCGAUUACUUCUACUCAUUUGAAUCAUGCCGGUCCUCCCCCUAAGAUUGUGAAAAAUGAGGACUUUGAUUCUUGGGUUUAUCACUUUAAGCGUCAUUUAAAUCAUGUGAAUACUAAUCUUUGGAGAAUCAUUGAAGAAGGUUUCUAUCCGCAUGACCCAAGCAACUUCACCCCUAGAGAAGCCGCGGAUAAUCAAUUCAAUGAGAAUGCUCUCUUCAUCAUCCAAGAUGCAAUUCCACCCGAAGAUCUCCCUCAUCUUCGGCCCUUCGCCUUGGCCAAAGAUGCAUGGCUUUGUGUUGUCUCCCUCUACCGGGGUAGCGCAAGCAUUCAACACUCCAACUAUGAAGUGGUGCAAGAUGAAGCCGAUGAGUUUGCAAUGAAAGAAGAUGAAGAACCUUGUGAGCUUUAUCGGAGAGUAACCAAACUCGCGGUCUCACUCCGAGAUCAUGGGAGCAAGGACACGGAUGACAAUUGGAUCAAGCGCAAAUUCCUCAAGGCCAUGUCCUCCGUCAUUCGUCAAAGGCCGGACUUCCAUACUUUGUCCUCAAGUGAAAUGUUGGAUGAGUUUGUGGCUAUGAGCAUCCUGGACAAGACCGCCGACAAUGCGGUGCUACAUUCUCAAAGAGCAAAGAAGCCCAACCUUGCAUUAAAGGCCAAGGUUAGUGUGGAAGAAGAAGAAGAGGAAGAAGAGGAGAGCAACCCCGAAGAUACAAAGUAUGAUUAUCAUGAGCACAUGGCUCUUGCUUCACGGCAAUUUUGGAGUAAGAAGAACUCAAGGCCCAACUUCAACAAGAACAACUCAAGUGGCAACAAGGUCAAGCAACGCGUGAGGACUUGCUAUAAUUGUGGCAACGUGAGCCAUUUUGUUGUGGAAUGCCCUUAUGAGAAGAGAGAAGACAAUGGUGGCAAGCUCAUUCGAAAGGACAAAGCCAAGUCUUUCCCUAACAAGAGCAACUUCACCAAGAGGACUCCUCCCAAGGGGUUGGUUGCACAAGAAGAGUACAAUGAGGAUGAUGAUGACGAUGAAGGCGGUGACUCGGUUGCUAUGGCCUUCGUGGCCAUUGCAACAACUCCUCGGGUAUCUGUCUUCGACUCACCCAAUGAGAACAUCAUCGCCAAGUGCCUCAUGGCUAAAGCAACCAAUAAGGUAACCCCCAACAUCAAAACUACCAUCAUUACUAAUCCUUCCUUGAUGGAUUGCAUUGAUGAAAAUGUGGGGCCUAAUGAGGAAGAAAAUGAGUUUGAUUCCUUUACGAGUAAGCUCAAGGGUAAGUCCAAGAAGCACUUUGUUGCUCUCUUGGAACAACUUGGUGAAGCCAAUGACACCAUCUAG
rnacentral:rRNA from 1 species